rnacentral:siRNA from 1 species
GACCUUAGAGUGGUUCUCUUGUGU